rnacentral:rRNA from 1 species
UACGUAGGGUGCAAGCGUUAAUCGGAAUUACUGGGCGUAAAGCGUGCGCAGGCGGUGAUGUAAGACAGUUGUGAAAUCCCCGGGCUCAACCUGGGAACUGCAUCUGUGACUGCAUCGCUGGAGUGCGGCAGAGGGGGAUAGAAUUCCGCGUGUAGCAGUGAAAUGCGUAGAUAUGCGGAGGAACACCGAUGGCGAAGGCAAUCCCCUGGGCCUGCACUGACGCUCAUGCACGAAAGCGUGGGGAGCAAACAGG